GACGAACGCUGGCGGCGCGCCUAACACAUGCAAGUCGAACGGAGUCAAGAGGAGCUUGCUUUUCUUGACUUAGUGGCGAACGGGUGAGUAACGCGUGAGUAACCUGCCCUAGAGUGGGGGACAACAGUUGGAAACGACUGCUAAUACCGCAUAAGCCCACGGAUCCGCAUGGAUCUGCGGGAAAAGGAUUUAUUCGCUUUAGGAUGGACUCGCGUCCAAUUAGCUAGUUGGUGAGGUAACGGCCCACCAAGGCGACGAUUGGUAGCCGGACUGAGAGGUUGAACGGCCACAUUGGGACUGAGACACGGCCCAGACUCCUACGGGAGGCAGCAGUGGGGGAUAUUGCACAAUGGGGGAAACCCUGAUGCAGCGACGCCGCGUGGAGGAAGAAGGUUUUCGGAUUGUAAACUCCUGUCGUUAGGGACGAUAAUGACGGUACCUAACAAGAAAGCACCGGCUAACUACGUGCCAGCAGCCGCGGUAAAACGUAGGGUGCAAGCGUUGUCCGGAAUUACUGGGUGUAAAAGGGAGCGCAGGCGGACCGGCAAAGUUGGAAGUGAAAACUAUGGGCUCAACCCAUAAAUUGCUUUCAAAACUGCUGGCCUUGAGUAGUGCAGAGGUAGGUGGAAUUCCCGGUGUAGCGGUGGAAUGCGUAGAUAUCGGGAGGAACACCAGUGGCGAAGGCGACCUACUGGGCACCAACUGACGCUGAGGUUCGAAAGCAUGGGUAGCAAACAGGAUUAGAUACCCUGGUAGUCCAUGCCGUAAACGAUGAUUACUAGGUGUUGGAGGAUUGACCCCUUCAGUGCCGCAGUUAACACAAUAAGUAAUCCACCUGGGGAGUACGACCGCAAGGUUGAAACUCAAAGGAAUUGACGGGGGCCCGCACAAGCAGUGGAGUAUGUGGUUUAAUUCGAAGCAACGCGAAGAACCUUACCAGGUCUUGACAUCCGAUGCAUAGUGCAGAGAUGCAUGAAGUCCUUCGGGACAUCGAGACAGGUGGUGCAUGGUUGUCGUCAGCUCGUGUCGUGAGAUGUUGGGUUAAGUCCCGCAACGAGCGCAACCCUUAUUGCCAGUUACUACGAAAGAGGACUCUGGCGAGACUGCCGUUGACAAAACGGAGGAAGGUGGGGAUGACGUCAAAUCAUCAUGCCCUUUAUGACCUGGGCUACACACGUACUACAAUGGCGUUUAACAAAGAGAAGCAAGACCGCGAGGUGGAGCAAAACUCAAAAACAACGUCUCAGUUCAGAUUGCAGGCUGCAACUCGCCUGCAUGAAGUCGGAAUUGCUAGUAAUCGCGGAUCAGCAUGCCGCGGUGAAUACGUUCCCGGGCCU
rnacentral:rRNA from 1 species